rnacentral:rRNA from 1 species
UCGCCUGUUUAUCAAAAACAUUUUUUUAAGUUACUUAAUUAAAAUAAGCCCUGCUCUAUGAUUAGUUAAUAAUUAAAUAGCCGCAGUAUAUUGACUGUGCAAAGGUAGCAUAAUCAUUUGGUUCUUAAUUGGAAUCUUGUAUGAAGGGGUUAACGAGAUUUUACUGUCUUAAAAAUAUUUUUUGAAUUUAUAAUUUUUGUAAUAAUACAAGAAUUUAGUUAAGGGACGAUAAGACCCUAUAAAGCUUUAUUUUAAUAAUAAGCUGUUUUUAUACAAUUCAGUUUGUUAAGAAAAUUUUACUGGGGCGGUACUUUAAUAUUUUAAACUAGAGUUAAUUUUAUAUAUUUGAUCCAAUUUUAUUGAGCAUAAGAUUAAGUUACUUUAGGGAUAACAGCAUAAUUCGCUUAGGGAGUUCAAAUCGAAAAGCGAGAUUAUGACCUCGAUGUUGAAUUAAAAUUUCUUUAGGGUGUAGGCGCUCUAUUAGUUAGUCUGUUCGACUAUUAAAUUUUUACAUGAUCUGAGUUCAAACCGGAGA